rnacentral:tRNA from 1 species
GCUUUUGUAGUUUAUCUAAAAACCCUGGUCUUGUAAACCAGAGAUAGGAAUUACAUCCUCCUAAGCU